GUGGCGAUUCCUUGGGUUGUGGAAUUAAUAGGGAAGACAGGUGAGAAUCCUGCACAAUCCCAUUGCUGUAUUUACAGAGUACAUUUUCUGGAUUUAAAAUCAGCCACUGGAAUAUCUGGGAAGGCGAGAAUGUAUGUUGAAGUAUAAGUCAGAAUACCUGCCUAAGUUUGUAG
rnacentral:ncRNA from 1 species